rnacentral:rRNA from 1 species
AUUGAACGCUGGCGGCAGGCUUAACACAUGCAAGUCGAGCGGAGAGAGGUAGCUUGCUACUGAUCUUAGCGGCGGACGGGUGAGUAAUGCUUAGGAAUCUGCCUAUUAGUGGGGGACAACAUUUCGAAAGGAAUGCUAAUACCGCAUACGUCCUACGAGAGAAAGCAGGGGAUCCUCGGACCUUGCGCUAAUAGAUGAGCCUAAGUCGGAUUAGCUAGUUGGGGGGGUAAAGGCCUACCAAGGCGACGAUCUGUAGCGGGUCUGAGAGGAUGAUCCGCCACACUGGGACUGAGACACGGCCCAGACUCCUACGGGAGGCAGCAGUGGGGAAUAUUGGACAAUGGGCGGAAGCCUGAUCCAGCCAUGCCGCGUGUGUGAAGAAGGCCUUAUGGUUGUAAAGCACUUUAAGCGAGGAGGAGGCUACUUUAGUUAAUACCUAGAGAUAGUGGACGUUACUCGCAGAAUAAGCACCGGCUAACUCUGUGCCAGCCGCCGCAGUAACAC